GCCGGGGACCCGGGGCCCUCAGCGGGGCCGCCCCGCUCCGCUCCGCUCCGCCCCGGGAAGGGCCGGGCCUCGGCGGCCAUGCGGCGGGCGGGAGGGCGGGCGGCGGAGCUGGCGGCCGAGGCGGCGGUGCGGGCCCUGCUGCUGGCCGCCUUCGCGAUCAUGGAGUUCUUGCCUCCGUUUCAGCGUGUGGUGCAGCCUGAGGAGAUGUGGCUUUAUAGAAACCCGUACGUAGAGGCGGAUCACGUCCCCACAGUACCCAUGUUUUUCAUCGCGUUUCUGUCUCCGUUAUUGCUCAUUGUCCUGGCAAGAGUGUUCAUGAAUGCCGACCAGGAGGACACGCGAGAAGCCUGCCUAGCUGCCAGCCUUGCUCUCGCCCUGAACGGGGUUUUCACAAAUGCCCUGAAGCUGAUUGUGGGGAGGCCCCGGCCGGACUUCUUCUAUCGGUGCUUCCCGGACGGCCGAGCGAACGUGGAGCUGGUGUGCACAGGCAACCCUGGCAUAGUGACUGAGGGACGCAAAAGCUUCCCCAGCGGACACGCUUCGUUCGCCUUCGCUGGCCUCGCCUUCUCUGCCUUCUACAUAGCUGGGAAGCUGCGCUGCUUCGCUCCGGGCCGGGGAGGCAGGGCUCUGCGGCUCUGCGCCUUCCUCCUCCCGCUCUUCCUCGCCACCCUCAUCGCCGUGUCCCGCACCUGCGACUACAAGCACCACUGGCAAGAUGUGUUGGUUGGCUCAGUGAUCGGCUUCCUGCUUGCAUACCUCUGCUACAGGCAGUAUUACCCUCCUCUGAUGGACUCCAUGUGCCACAAACCAUUUCUGUACAAAUCCAAAGAAUUGCCAGUGCACCAAGAAAAGCCUGGAGCUGCCAGCUUUCCCCUAGAUAUAUAGCGACGGGCUUUGUCCUGCCGGCACCUCUCCUGCUGCUCCUUCAGUGCUAGGGCAGGGGAAGGCUUUGGGGAGCUUGGUCAUGGUCUGCAAGGAGUAGCUCAGAUGAGGAUGAACCUGAAAGCCAAGCAGGCGUUCUCUGCGGUGCCGCUUUAAUACAGCUGUAAAGAGAUGACAGUCAGCAGAAAACGAAAUGGUGUCUGAAAGCAGCCCUUCAGAGGCGCUUGUUUCUCUGCACCAUGGUUUGUUUUCUCAGACAGUGGAAGGGUAGAGUGCUGCUGAGAGGCCCGAGGCACAGCUGUGUGGCAGGACUGUUGAGACGCUCUAGCAGUCAGUAGUUCAGGCACCGACUGAGCAGCAUCUGUUUCUGCAGUCAGGUAAAAGAACAGUUUCUGUUCCUCUGGGAUGGGAGGAGGGAUGCAGGCUGCAAACAAAACCUUUCAGACAGUGCAAACAAUGUAGUACAGCAGAGGACAAACAAUCAGGCUGUGGAAAAAAGGCUCCUUGCCCCAUGCAGGGCAAAAGGCAGUGGGAGGGAAAGUGGUUUGGCUCUUCCACAGGCUGUCACAGCAACGACCUGACACAGCCCAUCAGGGCCAGGUCUGCCUCCGCCUCACCCCAGGCUCCGGCCUCCGCCCUGGGUGGGUUUGGUCCCAAGGGAGGGGUCACCCAGGGCUCUGGCCCCGUCCCCCUUGGAGCAGAGCUGGCACGCCGCAGGUAGCUGCAGACCGACCUGCCUGCAGCGCCGGUGCCGGUUCUUUAGUGGGGUCACGGGGACACAGUGUCCGGAGCCUACAGAUCUGGGCUCCAGCUUGGCCAGCUGCGUUCUGUGUGUUUAAAACCAAAAUCAAUGACUCGAGCCUGGCUGGCGGGUGCAAUCCCAGUCGCCACCCUGAAAGCCACGCUGCAGCAGGAUGGCAGCGCUGCUCCGCGCCCCUGCGAAGCGCAGGAGGGCUGUCCCUCCAGGCCUCCCAGCCGCCUGGCUGCUGCUGGGGGGCGGCUGCUUUCCCCCGGUCCAGCUGCAGGUUGGGCUUUUCCCCUGUGUGGUCACACCCGGGCACCGGCUGGGUGCUCUGCAAGAUGCAGGCAGUGCCUGGGGGAGGCCCUGGGUUUGCGGCCACCGUGGGCUGGGUGAGGGUGCUGAGAACUCUCUGCCAGCACGUGGCAGUAGGCAGGAGCACCUAGGUCAAGUGUGCACAAACGUGCCGCUCUCACGAGGUGUCUCGUGGGGCAGUCCUGCCUGGCACAGCCCACGGGUGCCCAAACCCUGCGGCAGCCAUCCAGGGAGAUGAGAAUGGCUGGUAGACACAUUCCUGCUCGCUUGACAGCAGACGCCUGU